GUUCUUUAGACAUGACAUUCUAUAUUUGCCUAGGAGACACACAGGAUUUUUCUUCCCUUUUGUAAAGCAAUGAGCUCUUUCUGAAUGAUCUUGAAAACACACGGCUCCUUUCCUCUCUGUUUCCCCCACUUUUGCGUAGAGCCGUGACUUGGGAGAAACACUUCUGUAUUAGAAGAGUGGUGAGAGGGAGCAUAAAUGGAGUUGGUCAACUCUGGGUCCAGAAGCCAUCGUGGGUGGAGGGACUCGAAACCUCAGUGCCACUCUGCCCCAUCGAGGCCAAGUCAGAUUGGAAGCCCCAUUUCGCCAGUGUCUGAAUUCUUAAGCGAUGCUAGAAAUCUAGAUUUCUAAGAAUUGUCUUGGGGCUGCAGUUGAUAAAGGAAUCUACAAUCAACUUUUUAACCCAGUCCAGAGUUAUUGUAUGUACACUCGAGACCCAAAGGAAGGACAGAGAAUUUUCCUCACCUCAGCCCAAAAGGAGGCUGGAAUGCAUGCUUGCCUGCCACAGUUUCCACUUACUUACCACCAUCAGUCAGCAGGCUUUUAGGAGAGAACUGCACGUGUGAUUUAUUUGCAAAUCCUUUCAGGUCCUGGAGGAAAGAUACUUGGUACACAAUGCACUUUGUCAUCACGUGUCAACAUCCCCUCAAUGCAGAGAGCAGCACUACACGAUGUAAAGGUGGAAUUGGAUUGUGAUGGGAUCCUUAAAUCAGCAUUUCAUUUAGAACUACAGCAUUUGCAGAGCCAUUUGCAAUUGAUGCCAGCCCCUUGGAGGGGGUCAGCGUGUAGAAGACAAAGGACAGCCAUAAAGCCACUGAAUGCAAACUUUAUAUUUACAGUCAGUAAGUAAGUUUAUAAAUAUAUAUUACAUUCUUACAAUCUACAGUACAUUCUACACGCAGAUGGAUUUGGAAGCGGGCAGCGGCUGCAGUAUUCAACAGAACAUGACACAGGUAAGAAUGGAAAGAAAUAUGAGGACGUUACUGAAAGCAAAGGAUUCUCAUGGAAAAGGGGUGACAGCUUAAUCACCCAACCAACCAAACAAGGUAGGUAAGCUUGCGGACAGGAGCAGGUGACUUACUGGCUGCAGAAACCUCAGUCUCAAGAGCACCACAGUUGCAGGGGAGAGGGCUAAGGUUGGGAGGGUAAACUGGUGAAAUUUACACACACAUGAUCUAAAGAGAAUUCAAUUCUAUGGAGAGGAAGAAGGAGUAAAGACACACACUCAAAAUUACAGAGAUGGAGAGGAAGCAGGGAGAUAGAUAGGUUCAAAGGAGGAGAGAGAUACAGAGACAGACACACAGAGAGACUGGAAAACAGACAACUGAAGAGCAGAGAGAGAGAAAGAAAAUGACAGAGGGAAAAAUAGAAGAUCAAUUCAACAGCACGGCCUCUUCUGCCCACCACCCGCUGCCCCCGACCAUCUUUCUCAGGAUCCUAUCUGGCUGGCAAUCACCCAACACACCAUUCUCUACCUUGGAGUGAGCGUGAGAUGAGGCAGGAAUUCUCUGAUGUAUCCUUGCCCCCAUCUUCAUAGGCUUCAUAAGUGAAGGGAUUCAGGGAUAUCCAGAGUCAUGCUGAUCUUAAGCAAUGCUGAACCUUUCGGGGCUGACUGCAGGACCAAGUGCUUGCAAACCUGCAUCUUCACCACACGCACUGAUGCCCCUCAUCCCUUCGCACCUCCAAGAUGAAGAAGGUUUCUGUGCUGUCCGGUGUGUGUGAGGCUGAGCUUCCUGCUGGAUCCACCACUUUCACACCCAGAACCCCCUAACUAACUUCACAUGCCCUGCACGUUCCACACAGGCACCCCGAUUUGUCUCAACAGCCUCGAGGCCACAUUCUUGGACAGGAGAUCUGCCAUGAACAGUGAAAGACCCAUCCCAAGUGGCCCUGUUUUCUUUCUAGUAAAGCAAGGGAAUGUAUAUCCCCUGGUAUGGAAUUCACCGUGACUACCGCCCAUGCCUAGAGACCAGCCUCUUCAAAGAUGGACGGCGUGGGACAUAUGCCCAAGUUGCGGGGGGAGCUUCUCUACAGAAUGUCACUUGGGAGUUGACACAAAACCCAGGGGGAGAAAAAAGACCCAGCAAAUACUACAAACUGCCCUCUCCCUCCCCCACCCACAGGUGACCAACGGCUUUGGGGAGGAUGGCAAUGCAAUGGAGGAAUAGAAAUGGAUACAUUGUGAACUUGAUAUGAAUCAAAAGAGCCUGGUUCUUUGAACCUGAUUCAAAUUCUAUGCCCAGUAUCCUUAGUUUACAAAUAAAGAAGUACUCUGAAGGGCUCAGAGGAUUUGCGUCCGUGUGUUUGUCCUUGGCAUGUAGUUACAAAGGUAUAUGUGGUCUGUUAGCCCACAUGUUCCCUUUCAGUCCUUGUCAGCCACUUCCUUGGCCUGUCCAUGAUCUGAGCCAGCUCUGGCCCAGCCUUUGAGAGACAAUGACUCACAACCAUGCCUCCCACAGCUGACGGCGGCACUGGACUGCCUGUGAUCGCGCUCACAGCAAGAUGUGCUGCUCCAGUUUCGAUGACACGCUUCCUCCCAUGGAUCCAUGGAUGCGAUCCAUGGAUGCUCCACCUGAGUUGCACUUUUCUUCCAUAGUCUGCAAUAUUGAAUAUUGGAGCCAUGUGGAUUUUACAAUAUCCAAAUUGCUUUGAUUCGAGAGAGAGAGAGAGAGAGGCUGUUCUUUCCUGGACGCUCUCAGACGCUCAGUGAUUCAGAACUCGUUUUUGUUUCAAGUCUUAAAAAUCUUGCCAUGCAUGAUAAACCUCUUAAGCAAGACACUGUACUCUGGAAUGUGUGCAUCAAUGCGGACUCUAGGCCUUGCCGCCGAGCCGGGGUCAUUGGCUGAGGCUCUAUGGAUAGUGUCAUCCUUAUUUUGUCCUGCUGCUUUGUUUCUCUUCCGGGGGCACCGUUGCUACACAUCCUGGAAUUAAAGGCUGAAAGCAAUGAUAGGCCACUUGAAUUUGGGGUCUUGGUGGAUGGAGACUACCUUCUCAUCCAAAGAUGUGGCCAUCAAGGAGAAGUCUUUCCCAUCGUAAAUAUCCAAGGGUGUGACUGAGCCAUCACUGAACUGGACCCAGCAACUGAUGGCUGCUUCCUAUGGAGAAAAAUAUCUAAACAAUGAAUGGUCUGGAAGCGAUCUCCCGCCACAGGCUCCCCACUCAGCGGGUCUGUCACCCUCCGCUCCAGCAGGACCUUGGCAUCAGGCUGUGCACCUGCUCUGAGCCUGCACGUGCCCUCAUGGAAGCAGGAAGCGUGUGGAGAGCACAGAAGUUCCUGAGCCACUGCAGUGGCAAAGAUGGCCCUGUUGCUUCCUGGGCUGAGCUGCAAGGAGAGUGACAGCCCUGUUACCAGCUGCACCCCGAGGUCUGUGAUGGUCACCUUCUCGUCCAGCACAGUGAUGGUCUUUUCAGCGAGGAUGGUGUCUGACAGAGGAGACAGGAUCUGGAGGGCAGAAGCGACAUGACAAGGAAAGGCUUUCUGUGGCCCAGGCAACGCCUCCAGUCGCAGGAGGAAGUGCCAGGGUGCAGGCAGCGGCAGGGCAACAUGUGAGCCAGAAUGAAUGAGAACAGGCCUUUCCCACUCACACCACCUUCUAAAUCAUAUAUAUUGCUUGAGAAAA